UCGGGCUCAGAGGACCGUCAAGGCUGGUGUUCAUCGCUUCCACUUCACUGUCCAUGCUUCAGUAAAAGAUGGGGGACAAAAUGCACAGUCCUCUUUUCGUGCAGUGCUUCAAGGCAUCAAGGCUUCAGCAGUCUGAGUAAGCCAAAUCAAAAUCGUCAAGUAGAGGCACACCUGGAGGGCAGAUGUUUGGGACCCAAAGGCAGCAUCACAGCUGGCUUUUUGAGCUCAUUUAGUUCUACACCACCUGUGUUUUUGCAUUGAACUACCUGUAGCUCACUGUUGCUGAUCCUUAUUACAAGUUCAAAUGUAGUUUGUUGUAAAGUUGCCUUACAGUAUAUCAGCACAAAGCAGAUGACAAAUCCCUCGCACAUGAUCACAGAGGAAGUAGGGCAAAGACGUACAGGCAGUAAUGUACGUCAGUGAAUUCUGAGCUCAGCUUGUGUGAGAUAAAUGUGAGGAUGUUGUAGACACGCGGUUCUGACUGGACAUAGUGAAAAGAGUCUUUUGUAAACACAUCAUGCAGACGUGGGACAGAGACAAUGUAUAAUGUAGAGGGGGGCUGCCUGCCAAGUUUGAGGCUGGUUUACAGGUUGACCAGCAGGGCAUGAGAGCGUCUGUCUCUAACAAAACAUCCAGGUGCAAUAUUCACACCUCAGUUACAGGAUGGCUCUGUGGGGAAGGGAAGGCAAAGGUCAGCUACUGGCCUAGCUCUCAGACACUAGCAGCCUUUAUACUCCUGUAGAGCUGAGGGUCUAUGUCUGUAAACACACACACACACACACACACACACACACGCACGCACGCACGCAC